ensembl:lncRNA
CCGGUCCCUCCACGUCAGGCCUGAGCUCCUCUGUGACCAGUGGAAACUGGUUCAGGCCUUUUUGGAGUCCAGAUGAUAGUGACUCCGAUUAGUCCUGAAACUGGUGGAAGCUCUGAGCAGAGAAGUUCCAGCUGACAGGCAGCUCCCACUUCUUACUGCAGGGAUUGGAAAAAAAAAAAAAAACAAGAAAAAAAAAGAAAAAAAAGAAAGAAAAAAAAGAAAAAAAAAAAAAAACCAUCAAGAUCCCUGAACCUAAUAGUAAAAAUCCUCCUUCACAUGUCUUAGCGUCAUCAGAUAAUGUGGGAGGAACGGUAGGUAUGAGCACCUGACAAAUACAGGUGUGUUUGUUCUUCUUUAUCGGAGGAGUUCUCUGAACAGAGCUCCUGGAUGAUGGACAGAGAAGACCGGACCGACCAGACCAGAAGGAUGGAUGACCAGGAACCAACUGGAGAGAGGAGGAGUGUUUUCAGUCAGCUGACUAAGUCAGCGCUCCACUUCAGACGCCCCUGCCUCCAACAGCACCCUCUCCAGCCACUGAGGGGCGUCC